AUGAACGCUGGCGGCGUGCUUAACACAUGCAAGUCGAACGGAAAGGCUCCUGCUUGCAGGGGUACUCGAGUGGCGAACGGGUGAGUAACACGUGGGUGAUCUGCCCUGCACUUCGGGAUAAGCCUGGGAAACUGGGUCUAAUACCGGAUAGGACGAUGGUUUGGAUGCCAUUGUGGAAAGUUUUUCGGUGUGGGAUGAGCUCGCGGCCUAUCAGCUUGUUGGUGGGGUAAUGGCCUACCAAGGCGUCGACGGGUAGCCGGCCUGAGAGGGUGUACGGCCACAUUGGGACUGAGAUACGGCCCAGACUCCUACGGGAGGCAGCAGUGGGGAAUAUUGCACAAUGGGCGCAAGCCUGAUGCAGCGACGCCGCGUGGGGGAUGACGGCCUUCGGGUUGUAAACUCCUUUCGCUAGGAACGAAGCGCAAGUGACGGUACCUGGAGAAGAAGCACCGGCUAACUACGUG
rnacentral:rRNA from 1 species